CAUAUCAAUAAGCGGAGGAAAAGAAACCAACAGGGAUUGCCCUAGUAACGGCGAGUGAAGCGGCAACAGCUCAAAUUUGAAAUCUGGCUCUCGGGCCCGAGUUGUAAUUUGUAGAGGAUACUUUUGAUGCGGUGCCUUCCGAGUUCCCUGGAACGGGACGCCAUAGAGGGUGAGAGCCCCGUCUGGUUGGAUGCCAAAUCUCUGUAAAGUUCCUUCAACGAGUCGAGUAGUUUGGGAAUGCUGCUCUAAAUGGGAGGUAUAUGUCUUCUAAAGCUAAAUACCGGCCAGAGACCGAUAGCGCACAAGUAGAGUGAUCGAAAGAUGAAAAGCACUUUGAAAAGAGAGUUAAAAAGUACGUGAAAUUGUUGAAAGGGAAGCGUUUAUGACCAGACUUGGGCUUGGUUAAUCAUCUGGGGUUCUCCCCAGUGCACUUUUCCAGUCCAGGCCAGCAUCAGUUUUCCCCGGGGGAUAAAGGCGGCGGGAAUGUGGCUCUCUUCGGGGAGUGUUAUAGCCCACCGUGUAAUACCCUGGGGGGGACUGAGGUUCGCGCAUCUGCAAGGAUGCUGGCGUAAUGGUCAUCAACGACCCGUCUUGAAACACGGACCAAGGAGUCGUCUUCGUAUGCGAGUGUUCGGGUGUCAAACCCCUACGCGUAAUGAAAGUGAACGCAGGUGAGAGCUUCGGCGCAUCAUCGACCGAUCCUGAUGUUCUCGGAUGGAUUUGAGUAAGAGCAUACGGGGCCGGACCCGAAAGAAGGUGAACUAUGCCUGUAUAGGGUGAAGCCAGAGGAAACUCUGGUGGAGGCUCGCAGCGGUUCUGACGUGCAAAUCGAUCGUCAAAUAUGGGCAUGGGGGGCGAAAGACUAAUCGAACCUUCUAGUAGCUGGUUUCCGCGA
rnacentral:rRNA from 1 species